rnacentral:rRNA from 1 species
CCAACAACUAAGGUCCCCAAAUUGUGGUUAAGUGGAAAAGGAAGUAGGGAAGCACUGACAGCCAGGAGGUUGGCUUAGAAGCAGCCAUCCUUUAAAGAAAGCGUAAUAGCUCACUGGUCAAGCAGCCCUGCGCCGACAAUAUAACGGGGCUUAAACCACGUACCGAAGUUUCGGAUUGUGGAGGUCUUCGGAUCUCUAUGAUGGUAGGCGAGCAUUCCGUAGCUGUGAAGCGGGACCGAAAGGACCGUUGGAGCGAUCGGAAAAGACUCUGUCGGCAUAAGUAGCGAUAACGCGGGUGAGAACCCCGCGCGCCGUAAACCUAAGGUUUCCUGAGUAAAGUUAAUCUGCUCAGGGUUAGACGGCACCUAAGGCGAGGCCGAAAGGCGUAGUCGAUGGAAAUCCGGUUAAUAUUCCGGAUCCACUAACGUGUGCUGUGGGAGGACGCAGUAGGGUAGGCGAGACGGCCGAUGGACGUGCCGUUGAACUCAUCAUAGCCCGUCACUUUGGAAAAUCCGGGUGACACAAGGGUAAAGGUAGGGACGAAAGUAGGGGUAAAACCCGAAAAAAGUCGUUGACCCCAGCUGCCAGGAAAAUUCUCGUUCAGCUAUACACGCGAUGCGACCGUACCGCAAACCGACACAGGUAGGUGGGGUGAGAAUCCUAAGGCGCUUGUGAGAACUCUCGUUCAGGAACUCGGCAAAAUGUACCCGUAACUUCGGGAGAAGGGUAGCCCACCUCAGACGUGGGUCGCAGAGAAAUGUCCCAGGCGACUGUUUACUAAAAACACAGGUCUCCGCAAAGUCGUGAAGACGACGUAUGGGGGCUGACGCCUGCCCAAUGCUGGAAGGUUAAAAGGAGUGGUCAGCCGUAAGGCGAAGCUACGAAUUGAAGCCCCAGUGAAUGGCGGCCGUAACUAUGAACAGGACACCGCGCACCUCAAGUGAGCGGAAUUGUAGUUCCGAAAACGAAACUUGGCUAAAUGCUGGAACAUCCGGUUAGUAUCCGACGCUACUCGCUUCGAUCAUGAGGCAGUAACAAUGCGUUCGGUGCGGACAAUCAGCAGGAAAGGCUAGCGCAAGCUAGAAUCCUCAGAGACUACACGCCAAGCAUCACGUUCUCGUGAUGAUGAUAUAGUCCGAUCUUCAUGGCGACAUGAAGGACAAGCGAAGAUCUCUCUUCGUGAAUCGCGACUGAAUCCUCAAGAUUCAAAUCGUUAACACAAAUGAACGGUCCUAAGGUAGCGAAAUUCCUUGUCGGGUAAGUUCCGACCUGCACGAAUGGCGUAACGAGUUGGCCGCUGUCUCAACGCGUGGCUCGGUGAAACUGUAGUUCCGGUGAAGAUGCCGGAUACCCGCCGUAAGACGGAAAGACCCCGUGAACCUUUACUGUAGCUUGGCAUGGGAUUUUGGUGCAGCUUGUGCAGGAUAGGUGGGAGGCGCUGAACCUCGCCCGUCAGGGUGGGGGGAGCCAACCUUGAGAUACCACCCUAGCUACGCUGAAAUUCUAACCUACGCUUGUGAUCCAGGUGGGGGACAGUGCCAGGUGGGCAGUUUGACUGGGGCGGUCGCCUCCUAAAAUGUAACGGAGGCGCCCAAAGGUUCCCUCAGCACGGUCGGUAAUCGUGCGACGAGUGCAAAGGCAUAAGGGAGCUUAACUGCGAGACCCACACGUCAAGCAGGUGCGAAAGCAGGGCUUAGUGAUCCGGUGGUCCCGCGUGGAAGGGCCAUCGCUCAACGGAUAAAAGGUACUCCGGGGAUAACAGGCUUAUCGCGUCCAAGAGUCCACAUCGACGACGCGGUUUGGCACCUCGAUGUCGGAUCAUCGGCUGCUGGGGCUGAAGCAGCUCCCAAGGGUUGGGCUAUUCUGCCUGUAAAGGCAUACGUGAGCUGGGUUUAGAACGUCGUGAGACA